UGAUUGGUGCAAAAAUCUCAGUUUCUUGUG
rnacentral:piRNA from 1 species